rnacentral:lncRNA from 1 species
ACUGCAAGCUCCGCCUCCCGGGUUCAAUCGAUUCUGCUGCCUCAGCCUCUGGAGUAGCUGGGACUGCGGCAGUCACAGAAAGGGGUGGCUCUAAGAACCCAACGCAGGCCAGGCUGGAGGCAGGAGUCAAGGCCGGCUGCCGUAGGGCUCAGGAUGUCCAUCCGACCGUGACGUCAGCACUCAUUGAUGAAAGGAGAGUAGGACCAUUCCCAGAGUCUUGCUCUGUCGCCCAGGCUGGAGUGCAGUGGCGCGAUCUCGGCUCACUGCGACCUCUGCCUACCAGGUUCAAGUGAUUCUCCUGCCUCAGUCUCCCGAGUAACUGAGAUUACAGCUCUGGGACAAACCAGCUUCUAUGUCAUGAGUACACUCAGGCAGCUCACUGGAGAGAUCUGCAUGGUAAAGCAAUGAGCCUCCUGCCAGUAGCCAUGUGGGGGGCAUCUUGGAGCCAGACCCUCCAGCCCCAGUCAAGCCUUCAGAUGCCUGCAGCCCUGACUGACAUUUCAACCACAAUUUUAUGAGAGAUUCUGAGCCAGAAUCACCCAGCUAA